UACGUAGGCAGCGAGCGUUGUUCGGAGUUACUGGGCGUAAAGGGUGUGUAGGCGGCUUUUUAAGUUUGGUGUGAAAUCUCCCGGCUCAACCGGGAGGGUGCGCCGAAUACUGAGGGACUAGAGUACGGGAGAGGAAAGUGGAAUUCCUGGUGUAGCGGUGAAAUGCGUAGAUAUCAGGAGGAACACCGGUGGUGUAGACGGCUUUCUGGACCGUAACUGACGCUGAGACACGAAAGCGUGGGUAGCAAACAGG
rnacentral:rRNA from 1 species